GAUGAAGAACGUAGCGAAAUGCGAUAAGUAGUGUGAAUUGCAGAAUUCAGUGAAUCAUCGAAUCUUUGAACGCACAUUGCGCCCUUUGGUAUUCCAAAGGGCAUGCCUGUUCGAGCGUCAUUUGUACCCUCAAGCUUUGCUUGGUGUUGGGCGUCUUGUCUCUAGCUUUGCUGGAGACUCGCCUUAAAGUAAUUGGCAGCCGGCCUACUGGUUUCGGAGCGCAGCACAAGUCGCACUCUCUAUCAGCAAAGGUCUAGCAUCCAUUAAGCCUUUUUUUCAACUUUUGACCUCGGAUCAGGUAGGGAUACCCGCUGAACUUAAGCAUAUCAAUAAGCAGGA
rnacentral:misc_RNA from 1 species